UGGGGAAUCUUGCGCAAUGGGCGAAAGCCUGACGCAGCGAUGCCGCGUGCGGGAUGAAGGCCCUCGGGUUGUAAACCGCUUUCAGCAGGGACGAAAUUGACGGUACCUGCAGAAGAAGCCCCGGCCAACUACGUGCCAGCAGCCGCGGUAAUACGUAGGGGGCGAGCGUUGUCCGGAUUUAUUGGGCGUAAAGAGCUCGUAGGCGGUUUGGUAAGUCGGGUGUGAAAUCUCCAGGCUCAACCUGGAGAGGUCACCCGAGACUGCCAUGACUAGAGUCCGGUAGGGGUGUGUGGAAUUCCUGGUGGAGCGGUGAAAUGCGCAGAUAUCAGGAGGAACACCCGUAGCGAAGGCGGCACACUGGGCCGGUACUGACGCUGAGGAGCGAAAGCGUGGGGAGCAAACAGG
rnacentral:rRNA from 1 species